CGGACGGGUGAGUAAUGUCUGGGAAACUGCCCGAUGGAGGGGGAUAACUACUGGAAACGGUAGCUAAUACCGCAUAACGUCGCAAGACCAAAGAGGGGACCUUCGGGCCUCUUGCCAUCGGAUGUGCCCAGAUGGGAUUAGCUAGUAGGUGGGGUAACGGCUCACCUAGGCGACGAUCCCUAGCUGGUCUGAGAGGAUGACCAGCCACACUGGAACUGAGACACGGUCCAG
rnacentral:rRNA from 1 species